CCUACGGGGGGCAGCAGUGGGGAAUAUUGCACAAUGGGCGCAAGCCUGAUGCAGCCAUGCCGCGUGUGUGAAGAAGGCCUUCGGGUUGUAAAGCACUUUCAGCGGGGAGGAAGGCGGUGAGGUUAAUAACCUCAUCGAUUGACGUUACCCGCAGAAGAAGCACCGGCUAACUCCGUGCCAGCAGCCGCGGUAAUACGGAGGGUGCAAGCGUUAAUCGGAAUUACUGGGCGUAAAGCGCACGCAGGCGGUCUGUCAAGUCGGAUGUGAAAUCCCCGGGCCCAACCUGGGAACUGCAUUCGAAACUGGCAGGCUAGAGUCUUGUAGAGGGGGGUAGAAUUCCAGGUGUAGCGGUGAAAUGCGUAGAGAUCUGGAGGAAUACCGGUGGCGAAGGCGGCCCCCUGGACAAAGACUGACGCUCAGGUGCGAAAGCGUGGGGAGCAAACAGGAUUAGAUACCCCUGUAGUC
rnacentral:rRNA from 1 species